GGCUCAGAACGAACGCUGGCGGCAGGCCUAACACAUGCAAGUCGAGCGAGACCUUCGGGUCUAGCGGCGGACGGGUUAGUAACGCGUGGGAACGUACCCUUCUCUAAGGAAUAGCCACUGGAAACGGUGAGUAAUACCUUAUACGCCCUUCGGGGGAAAGAUUUAUCGGAGAAGGAUCGGCCCGCGUAAGAUUAGAUAGUUGGUGGGGUAAUGGCCUACCAAGUCUACGAUCUUUAGCUGGUUUUAGAGGAUGAUCAGCAACACUGGGACUGAGACACGGCCCAGACUCCUACGGGAGGCAGCAGUGGGGAAUCUUAGACAAUGGGCGCAAGCCUGAUCUAGCCAUGCCGCGUGUGUGACGAAGGCCUUAGGGUCGUAAAGCACUUUCGCCUGUGAUGAUAAUGACAGUAGCAGGUAAAGAAACCCCGGCUAACUCCGUGCCAGCAGCCGCGGUAAUACGGAGGGGGUUAGCGUUGUUCGGAAUUACUGGGCGUAAAGCGCACGUAGGCGGAUUGGAAAGUAUGGGGUGAAAUCCCAGGGCUCAACCCUGGAACUGCCUCAUAAACUUCCAGUCUAGAGUUCGAGAGAGGUGAGUGGAAUUCCGAGUGUAGAGGUGAAAUCCGUAGAUAUUCGGGGGAACACCAGUGGCGAAGGCGGCUCACUGGCUCGAUACUGACGCUGAGGUGCGAAAGUGUGGGGAGCAAACAGGAUUAGAUACCCUGGUAGUCCACACCGUAAACGAUGAAUGCCAG
rnacentral:rRNA from 1 species